AGAAUCAACGCUGGCGGCGUGCCUAACACAUGCAAGUCGAACGAGAAAGGGUAGCAAUACCUGAGUACAGUGGCGCACGGGUGAGUAACACGUGACUAACCUACCCUGGAGUGGGGAAUAACUGAGGGAACCUUAGCUAAUACCGCAUAAUACCUACGGGUCAAAGGAGCAAUUCGCUUCAGGAGGGGUCGCGGCCGAUUAGCUAGUUGGCGGGGUAAUGGCCCACCAAGGCAAUGAUCGGUA
rnacentral:rRNA from 1 species